UAUUGCUCUUGAACGAGGAAUCAUAGUAAGUACAAGUCACUAGCUUGUGCUGAUUACGUCCCUGUUUCUUUGUACACACCGCCCGUCGCUACUACCGAUUGAAUGGCUUAGUGAGGCCCUCGGAUUGAGGCUCGGAGACUGGCUUCAUUACUCAUGGUCUUGAAAAGUUGGUCAAACUUGGUCAUUUAGAGGAAGUAAAAGUCGUAACAAGGUUUCCGUAGGUGAACCUGCGGAAGGAUCAUUACCAAUUUUUAGCGGACCUGAUCUUUGAUCAUGGUCUCGCGAAAACUUGUAUUUAAAACCCCACUCUUAUAAAUUGAAUCAUUUUUUAUAUUGUAUAAUAAAUAAAGAUCACUUUCAACAACGGAUCUCUUGGCUCUCGCAUCGAUGAAGAACGUAGCGAAGUGUGUUUUAUUAAUGUGAAUUGCAGAAUUCCGUGAAUCAUCGAAUCUUUGAACGCAGAUUGGGGUCUCUUCGGAGAGUAUGCCUGUUUGAGGGUCAGUAUUAAUAAAAAUCGGCGUGUUGCUCUUUCGUGACACUCCGGAGUUGGGUCAUCUUAUAACAGUACCUUUCAAGGUGUUUCUAAGAGGCUUAAAAUUGACAUCUUUUUUGCGCAUUUUAGACGUACAUAAAUUUUUUUUAUUCGUUUAUUCUAAUGCCAAAAUCUCUAUUAGAUGCGACCAUAUCGUGUGGUUUCCGUGUCUAUAAAUUUUUUCAUGAUUUGACCUCAAAUCAGUAGGAACACCCGCUGAACUUAAGCAUAUCAAUAAGCGGGAGGAAAAGAAAAUAACAAUGAUUUCCCCUAGUAACUGCGAGGUGAAGGAGGACCAAGCUCCAAAUUUUAAAUCUGGUCGGUUUUUCCUUGACCGAGUUGUUAAUUUGGAAGAAGCGUUUUCUGCGCUGUUUUGAUCAGCCCCAAGUCCUAUUUGAAUGAGCCAUUCAAUGGGAAGGGUGUGAAUAAAUCCCCGUUCCGGCUUGGAUCAUUGUGGCCUCUCUACGAUAUACGCUUUUCAAAGAGAGUUCAAAGAUGGUUGGGAAUUGGCAGCCUUAAAUGGGGAGCUAAUUUCCUUCCUAAG
rnacentral:rRNA from 1 species